rnacentral:rRNA from 1 species
GACGAACGCUGGCGGCGUGCCUAAUACAUGCAAGUCGAACGCAGUGGGGACGGGUAAGGAACAAGUGGGUAACCUCCCAUAAAAGGGGAUAACACUUGGAAACAGGUGCUAAACCGAUACUGAUGUAUGGAACAGCGGUGCAUUAGCUAGUGGGUGAGGGAACGGCUAACCAAGGCCACGAUGCAUAGCCGCCCUGAGAGGGUGAUCGGCCACACUGGGACUGAGACACGGCCCAGACUCCUACGGGAGGCAUCAGUAGGGAAUCUUCGGCAAUGGCCGAAAGUCUGACCGAGCAACGCCGCGUGAUUGAAGAAGUUUUUCGGAUCGUAAAACUCUGUUGUUCUAGAAGCGGUUUCUAACCCCAACGCCACGGCUAACUACGUGCCAGCAGCCGCGGUACUAC